CCCUGGACCAGAGCACGCCAGGCACUUCUGUCUUCCACUGCCUCCCGCAGUUUGGUCAAACUCAUGCUGGUAGCUUCGAGAACACUGUCCCACCAUCUCGUCCUCUGUCGUCCCCUUCUCCUUGUGCCCUCCAUCUUUCCCAACAUCAGGGUCUUUUCCAAGGAGUCUUCUCUUCUCAGGAGGUGGCCAAAGUCUUGGAGCCUCAGCUUCAGGAUCUGUCCUUCCAGUGAGCACUCAGGGCUGAUUUCCUUCAGAAUGGAGAGGUUUGAUCUUCUUGCAGUCCAUGGGACUCUCAAGAGUCUCCUCCAGCACCAGAAUUCAAAAGCAUCCAUUCUUCAGCGAUCAGCCUUCUUACUGUUAUUUUAAAAAAUGCCUUCUGAAUUGCACACAAAAGUAGUGAUCAUUUCUGGGUGAACUGUAUGUGAAUUAAGUUUAUUUUGCAGGAGAACGUGGGUGAUUUUUAAUUCAAUUCAGUUUUAAUUUUAAUUCAGUCCUUUAUAUAUAUCUCAUAUAUUUACAGUGGUACCUCAGGUUACAUACGCUUCAGGUUACAUGCGCCUCAGGUUACAGACUCCACUAACCCAGAAAUAGUGCUUCAGGUUAAGAACUUUGCUUCAGGAUGAGAACAGAAAUCGUGCUCCAGCGGCACAGCAGCAGGGGGAGGCCCCAUUAGUUAAAGUGGUGCUUCAGGUUAAGAACAGCUUCAGGUUAAGAACGGACCUCCGGAAUGAAUUAAGUACAUAACCAGAGGUACCACUGUAUAAUUAUCUGGCUUUUAAAAGGCAGCUUUUAAUGAUGGGGUUUUUUUAAAUUGUGUUUUUAAUAUUUUGUUGGAGCUGCCCAUUUAGAUUCCCAUUGACAGUCGUACCUCGGAAGUCGAAUGGAAUCCAUUCCAGAAGUCCGUUCGAGUUCCAAAACGUUCGGAAACCAAAGCACGGCUUCUGAUUGGCUGCAGGAAGCUCCUGCAGCCAAUUGGAAGCCACGGAAGCCCCGUCAGACGUUCAACUUCCAAAAUUAGUUUGCAAACCGGAACCGUCACUUCCGGGUUUGCAGCAUUCAGGAGCCAAAACGUUUGGGAACUAAGCUGUUCGAAAACCAAGGUACGACUGUACUAAUAUAUCAGUUCAGCAAAUCGCAGAGCCGUUUCCUAUAUUUCCUUAUUUGUAUUUGGGGGUUUUUAUGUCCCCGCCACCCAUUUCUUUAUUGAAACAAAUCAAAGAAUAAAACACAAAUAACAGAAAUACCAAAACCCAGCACCCUCUAUCCAGGAGAGAAUAUUAGGUCAGUAAAGUGCUUAAGACCAUCGGGAAAGCCAAAUUUCAUAUUGGAGUUCGGUGUGUGUGUGUGUGUGUGUGUGUGUGUGUGUGGAGUCCUUUGCUGUAUAUUAGAUAAAACCAGGGGUAAGCAAACUAAGGCCCGGGGGCCAGAUCCGGCCCAAUCGCCUUCUCAAUCUAGCCCGCGGACCGUCUGGGAAUCAACGUGUUUUCACAUGAGUAGAAUGUGUCCUUUUAUUUAAAAUGCAUCUCUGGGUUAUUUGUGGGGCAUAGGAAUUCGUUCUUUUUUUUUUUCUUUCCAAAAUAUAGUCCGGCCCCCCACAAGCUCUGAGGGACAGUGGACCGGCCCCCUGCUGAAAAAGUUUGCUGAGCCCUGUAUCAUAAAACCCACCAAACAGCAAAGAAGUGUUCACAGCCCUUUGGCAACAUGUUAUUAAACACCCCGUAAUGGCAUCUUUGCGACGUAUUUUCGUGAACUAAUUUUCCUCCCCUUUCUUUUUUUCUGCAACCUGUCUGUUGCAGGGGGCGGAAAGAAACAGCGACAGCAAAUCGCUGGCCUUGAAUGGGAAAGGUGGCCAUUUUCCCGCCUCUGUCUUGGUUCCUGGCGGAAUCCCCCGACUUCCCUCGAUGGGGCAAAUGUAUCGGCCGUUCUGCCCCAUAGAAAAUGCCCCACAUGUGCCGUUCUCUCAGCCAGCUGUGGAUCAGAAUUCAGCCCCUCCUGAAAUGUGGGGCCUCAAGCGCGGCCUCAGAAUAAUCUCUAGGAUUUUCUUUGGACGGAGGUUGUUUUUUUGUAAGGGGGAGGUGUCUCACCCUUAUAAUCCUCCAGUAAUGAAUUCCCUGUGACCCGGAGAGGUGAGGACCCGCUGGAAACUCCAGCAGGAUUUCCGUAAAAAAAUAAAAUAAAAUAAAAAUUCCUGCAAGCCUAGCUCCCUGGGACCGGAUGGGGAGAGGGAUGAAGGGGGUCAGUAAAGGAAGGGGGGUCUUUUUCUGGCCAACUGUAAGGCUCUUUUUCAGUCAAGGGAGCCCAGAAUUGAGGCCGCACCACAACACCAUACAUUUAAAGCAGGAUCAUAGCACUUUGGAAAAGAAUCUAGCUGCACUGUUCGUGAAGACAUGUCCUCCAACAUUUCCCUGACGAAAACAGGGACGUCUGAUUCCAUAAUAAUACUUCUACUAUUUAUACUGGGUUGCCCCAGCCACUCUGAUGGCUUCCUACAUAUAUAAAAUCAUGAUAAAACAUUUUAAAACUUCCCCACACAAGCCUAAGUUCAGAUGGCUCGGGGGUCAGAUAACUCUAUCCCCUACAACAUUUGUCCGAUGAAAAUAGGUGCGUCCUAUUCCACCCCCUCCAACAUUUCUCUGAUGAAAAUUGUUGUUCUUUAGUCGUUUAGCCGUGUCCGACUCUUUGUGACCCCAUGAACCAGAGCAUGCCAGGCCCUCCUGUCUUCCACUGCCUCCCGCAGUUUGGUCAAACUCAUGCUGGUAGCUUCGAGAACACUGGUUCUCAAACUUAAUCCAUUUGGGAAGUCCGUUCCAAAACCAAAGUGUUCCAAAACCAAGGCGCGCUUUCCCAUAGAAAGCCAUGCAAAACAGAUUAAUCCAUUCCAGACUUUUAAAAACAACCCCUAAAGCAGCAAUUGAACAUGAAUUUUACUAUCUAACGAGACCACUGAUCCAUAAAAUGAAAGCAAUAAUCAAUGCCCUGUUUGCUGUUGUUGUUGUUGAGUCGCUUAGUCAUGUCCGACUCUUCGUGACCCCCUGGACCAGAGCACGCCAGGCACUCCUGUCUUCCACUGCCUCCCGCAGUUUGGUCAAACUCAUGCUGGUAGCUUCGAGAACACAGUCCCACCAUCUCGUCCUCCGUCGUCCCCUUCUCCUUGUGCCCUCCAUCUUUCCCAACAUCAGGGUCUUUUCCAGGGAGUCUUCUCUUCUCAUGAGGUUGUCAAAGUCUUGGAGCCUCCGCUUCAGGAUCUGUCCUUCCAGUGAGCACUCAGGGCUGAUUUCCUUCAGAAUGGAGAGGUUUGAUCUUCUUGCAGUCCAUGGGACUCUCAAGAGUCUCCUCCAGCACC
rnacentral:lncRNA from 1 species